CGCUCUUCUGUGAUACUCAUCAGUGGAAUGUGCAGAAUUUCAAGCUCAGUUUCUCUGUUUUCUAAUCAGAGCUGAACUCGGGUCUUCAGAGAGGGAAGGAAGCUUUGCUCUUCAGAGGCAGCCAUGGGAGAAAGAACAAAUUAGCAUGAAAGGCCAGGUGAUUCAAUGAAUAUUCAUAUGGG